rnacentral:tRNA from 1 species
GAGGCACUAGUAAACCAAAUUAUAUCGCCUUGUCAAGGCGAAGUCGCAAGUUAAAAUCCUGCGUACCUCA